rnacentral:lncRNA from 1 species
CGCCAGGGCGAGGCGAUCCGGUGCGGGGGCACUCCCAUGGAGCGCGGACUCCUAAGGAAGUCGCUGGGAGUCCCACCGGCUGCACCGCAGGGCGUUAGUACCUAGAUGGCUUCGGUGCCCCCAAACGAUGGGCUCAAGCUACAGGGCAGGCUUUGCACCUGGCCUUCUCAGCUCUGAGGCAGGCAGUGGGCAGCCUCGCCUCCACCCUCCGUCCAGCGCCCUUCCCAUGGGGCCAUCCGCCUCUCCCUAAGGCACUAAAAACCAGUGGAGGAGUCAGGCCAUGUUGGCAAAAAGGCCCAGGGCAGCAGCCCCAGACCUAUAGUCCUAAAUAUCCAUGUACCCAGCCCUGGGGUCACGAGCCAUCUCAGGGACGACCCGAUUCCAGCGGAUGGAGAAGUUCCCUGAAAACACCUGCCUGGGAGGAGAGACUAGGGAACAGGAUUGGACAGUGCUUUACCAUGGAACUGAAACCAUGAAAACUGAAACUGCAAAUAGGAGAGACUGCUGUAUAGUCACUGAAAAAAUUUAAUGGAUGAGCUCAACAGCAAAUUAGACACAACUGAAACCUUGGACCCAUGUGUGGAAGACGACAGCAUCACCAACUGGAGGGUGCCUGGAUCCCUUAGUCACCACUUGCAGUGAAAAGGUCAAGAGUAGCCACCUGACCCAUAUCAGGCUAUGAAGUGAAGAGAAAAUGACACGAGGCUUUGAAACCAAGAGCUGGAGGAACCUGGAAGCAAAAGCUGAGGCUGUCAGCUGCCCAGCAGUUAACACCCUGAGACCAUCUUCCCACUUCCAACACCCACAGAAGCUGCCUCCCAAGGGCCCCUGUGUCCCCGCAUGGCCCACCUCAGCAGUAUGAUGCAGCACUGGGGAAGUGACAGAAUGUGAAAAAAAACUAUUAUAGCUGAGAUAUUUUAAAAUUCCGCCCUCCAGGCAGCAUCUGGUUGCUACAGCAACCCCAGCUCUGCAGGGUGUCCCGAUUACCGGCAGGCUCCCUGCACCUGCCUCAGGCUGAGAGCAGGCGGCUGCCGCCAAGGGGAACACCAAGGAAAUGCCCAUGUUCUGAUUCCAAGGUAAUGGCUCAGACCCAAGGGGAUUUUUGUCUGUUCCAUGUGCAACCUGAUGAAGUUUUGUCCCAUGUUAAUAAUUUCAUUAAAAAUAUGGCCUUACGUCCUA